rnacentral:rRNA from 1 species
UCCCUAUGGGGUGCACCAGGCGCGAAAACUUUACAAUGCCGGCAACGGCGAUAAGGGGACCUCGAGUGCCAGGUUACAAAUCUGGCUGUCGUGAUGCCUAAAAAGCAUUGCAUAGCAAGGGCCGGGCAAGACCGGUGCCAGCCGCCGCGGUAAUACA